UACGUAGGGCGCAAGCGUUGUCCGGAAUUAUUGGGCGUAAAGAGCUCGUAGGCGGUUUGUCGCGUCUGCCGUGAAAGUCCGGGGCUCAACUCCGGAUCUGCGGUGGGUACGGGCAGACUAGAGUGAUGUAGGGGAGACUGGAAUUCCUGGUGUAGCGGUGAAAUGCGCAGAUAUCAGGAGGAACACCGAUGGCGAAGGCAGGUCUCUGGGCAUUAACUGACGCUGAAGCACGAAAGCGUGGGGAGCAAACAGG
rnacentral:rRNA from 1 species